AUGUGGAGCCGAGCAGAUGAUGGUGGUGGACGCGGCGGAGCACGAACGAUAAUCUCAUCCGAUCAGCGGUCGGGACGGAGCAGCAUCUCGUGCGUGAACACUGGCCCGGUUUCAUAACCAUGGCAACCGGAAUCUCCUCGCGCCCGCCGAGGAGGGGGGCGUUCCUCCCGCACGAGCUCCUCGACGCUGACCCGACGGAAACGAGCGGACUCCGUAGGAAUACGGUCCAGCUUGUCGCCGAACCCCCGGACGCAGCGCCGAGUCCUCGCGUCGCCGCUGCUGAUAAUAGGUUUCAGCGAGGGCAGCGCACGUGCGGAAACUUUUCAUAAAGAGCAGUUCACAGCAGAGCCGUCGUCCCACACGUUGGCCCCACACCGCGCCGCGUCCCCCGCGCAGGUGACGACGCUCCGGCAGGUUCGGGAUGGUUCGGCUCCACGGGCUCCGGCUCUUCCCGCGGUGAAGCGUUCGGCGCGUGGCGACCUGCGGCGGGACUGGCCAUCUCCGUGAAGGCCGUUCGGCUCCGAGUAACGACCGUGUGAUACGUGAUAUGCCAGACGGCUCCGUUCAGAUGCGUGCCGCUGCCCUCCCCCGUUAUCCGCCGUCAGCUGCCCCGCAGCGUCACGCGCACCCGCUACGUCGCGCGGCCCGCUCGCUCUCGCCGCGCGCAGCGCCGGACGGGCUCGCUAGAAGUCCGCGGCGACCCGGACGCUGCAACACGAACCGGCCGCUAAAAAUAACGCUGCUCGUCCGCAGCCGAACGCCGCCGUUCUCCUCGGCCACCGCCGCUACCGCGCAUUUUAGGAGACGUGAACGCGCAGGCAGGAAUCUGUGCGGGGGAGGUCGAGUGAGAAAAGCGCAGGAGGGGGGGGGGGACGUCCUGUCACCCCCCAUGUCCCCUGAAGCCCCAGGCGGCACCUGAUGGGACGACCAGUUAAACGGAGGACUAGUUUUAGUCAAAAACUGAGUGCUCAUUUUUAAUAAAUUGAAUACUUGUAGUAAAGCUCAGAUGCAGCUGUGAAAGUAGUAGUAGUACAAUACUACAGUUCUUUUUUUUUUACCCUUAAUAGAAGCAAGACACAUUGGUGUAAUGGUUGUUUUAUUGAAUUCUCACAGCUGCUUAACCCACAGAACUACAGCAACAUAUUAGAAAGUGCAAACUGGUAAAGUAUUUCACCACAAGCUAACUAGUCACACUGCACAGGAAGCCAAUGUACAGUAGCACUUAACCUGGAGGGGCCCCUUCUGCAUCCCAGUUCCAGUGGCACAGUAACCAUGUAUUUGGGGAUUUAUGCAAACAUUUUCAAAGUGCAAAAACGAUUCAACUGUAGCAGUUUCUAAAUACUAACAGUAGUCAUGUCACAUUCAUUUUAUAACAGUAAAUAAAGAUAAUGCAAUUUCUCAAAAAAAAAAAAAAAAGUCAGAACUGAGAAGGUGUCAUGCAUGUGUCAAACUAUGGUCAAAAUAUUCCUAUA